UACGAAGGGGGCUAGCGUUGCUCGGAAUCACUGGGCGUAAAGGGUGCGUAGGCGGGUCUUUAAGUCGGGGGUGAAAUCCUGGAGCUCAACUCCAGAACUGCCUUUGAUACUGAAGAUCUUGAGUUCUGGAGAGGUGAGUGGAACUGCGAGUGUAGAGGUGAAAUUCGUAGAUAUUCGCAAGAACACCAGUGGCGAAGGCGGCUCACUGGCCCGAUACUGACGCUGAGGCACGAAAGCGUGGGGAGCGAACAGG
rnacentral:rRNA from 1 species